UCUCCGUUGGUGAACCAGCGGAGGGAUCAUUACAGAGUUGCAAAACUCCCAAACCAUCGUGAACGUUACCUAUCCCGUUGCUUCGGCGGGCGGCCCGGGCCCCGCCCCAGGCGCCCCCCGGCCCCCCUGGGCGCCCGCCGGAGGUAAACCAACCCCUUGAAUUGCAUGGCCUCUCUGAGUCUUCUGUACAGAAUAAGUCAAAACUUUCAACAACGGAUCUCUUGGUUCUG
rnacentral:misc_RNA from 1 species